GGGGGCUACCGGCUGAAAAGAGGAGCAAACAAGAAGUGCCUGAGCCCUGGUGAGUCACUGUAGGAUACGGGAGGUUGGUGUUGCCAGAACGGCGGCAAGCUGACGAGGUGGUUGCAGUGGCAGUCCGAUUUGAAUACAAUAGUCAGAGCUGCGUGAAUGAACUGGAAUGGAACAGGAGUAAAGAUCUUUUAUAGGACACAAUGAUUUACAGGAUGAGGGGGCGCAGACACUCCAUCACCACAGUUGGGAAGUGCAGGCUCAUCAGUCUGCCUGGUGGAGCUGGCAAGCAAAGCUGGCUUCCUCAGGACCACGUUGUCACCACAGGGACGACAACAACAGCAGCAACAGUGGUCUCAGCGGCAGUUGAACAGCUGCUCCUUCAUCUGAAAAUUGCACCUCACUCAGCGGGGCCCGCCAAGGAGGUCCAUUCCAGUUUUUGCUCUCAUCAAGGAGCCCUUUCAGUGUUUGAUUAAAUGUAGUCAUACGUCUCAGUCUAUGCGGUGACACCACUGAUUUUUCACUUUUCAAGUGUGUAUAAAUUAGUGACCGGACUCAGUAUGUAGGACCUCUGUGCAGUAUGUUAUUGCAGCAGUAAAAGAAUGUCUGCUAAUCUUUGAGGUGAAAUAAAUGUAUAUCCAUCCAUCCAUUAUCUAUACUGCUUAUCCGUUAGGGAUAAGGCUGCAGCGGGGCUGGAGCCUAUCCCAGCUGUCAUUGGGUGAGAGGCAGGGUACACCCUGUAGGAAUCUACAGGUAAAUGUAUAUUUCCAUCAAAAACUAACCAGAAAUACCUAUGAAAGAUACCUUUAUCUUGACUCUAUGUG